rnacentral:rRNA from 1 species
GUGGGGAAUAUUGGACAAUGGGCGCAAGCCUGAUCCAGCAAUGCCGCGUGUGUGAAGAAGGUCUUCGGAUUGUAAAGCACUUUCGACGGGGACGAUGAUGACGGUACCCGUAGAAGAAGCCCCGGCUAACUUCGUGCCAGCAGCCGCGGUAAUACGAAGGGGGCUAGCGUUGCUCGGAAUGACUGGGCGUAAAGGGCGCGUAGGCGGAUUGUACAGUCAGAUGUGAAAUUCCCGGGCUCAACCUGGGGGCUGCAUUUGAUACGUGCGAUCUUGAGUUCGGAAGAGGGUCGUGGAAUUCCCAGUGUAGAGGUGAAAUUCGUAGAUAUUGGGAAGAACACCGGUGGCGAAGGCGGCGACCUGGUCCGAUACUGACGCUGAGGCGCGAAAGCGUGGGGAGCAAACAGGAUUAGAAACCCCAGUAGUCC